rnacentral:rRNA from 1 species
UACGUAGGGUGCGAGCGUUAAUCGGAAUUACUGGGCGUAAAGCGUGCGCAGGCGGUCUGUUAAGACCGAUGUGAAAUUCCUGGGCUUAAUCUGGGAACUGCAUUGGUGACUGGCAGGCUUUGAGUGUGGCAGAGGGAGGUAGAAUUCCAUGUGUAGCAGUGAAAUGCGUAGAGAUGUGGAGGAAUACCGAUGGCGAAGGCAGCCUCCUGGGCCAACACUGACGCUCAUGCACGAAAGCGUGGGGAGCAAACAGG